rnacentral:rRNA from 1 species
UACGGGGGGGGCAAGCGUUGUUCGGAAUUACUGGGCGUAAAGGGCUCGUAGGCGGGCAACUAAGUCCGACGUGAAAUCCCCAGGCUUAACCUGGGAACUGCGUCGGAUACUGGAUGGCUUGAAUUCGGGAGAGGGAUGCAGAAUUCCAGGUGUAGCGGUGAAAUGCGUAGAUAUCUGGAGGAAUACCGGUGGCGAAGGCGGCAUCCUGGACCGACAUUGACGCUGAUGAGCGAAAGCUAGGGGAGCAAACGGG